GUCUUCAAAUGCAGAUUCUUUAGCUGCUACCCAAUUUUUCGGAAUCUUAGGUUUUGUUGGCUUAAAUCUUGGUUGCCUUCUUCUUGUUCUAAAUAUAUUCACGGACAAAUUGAAAGGAAACUCUGAGGCAAUUCUAAUUGCGGCAAUAUCUCUCAUUGUAUCAGCGGUCUCUUGGCUUUUGGCUGUUAUAAUCUACGCAGCAAGCUUCAAGCCAAGUGGAUCAGAACUUGGAUAUUCGUUUGGUCUAGCGAUCUGUGCUCUUGUUUUGGCUGCAGUAUCUGGAGUACUUGUGUUGUUGGCCCGUCAAGGAGGCUCUUCUGUUGGCUCCAAUUAGAAACAUUUCAAGCCAAGUAUGUCUGUUUGACAUUGCAAAACAAUUUACAAAUUUAAAAUGUGUAAUCGUGUGACUCUGAAAGAAACAAACACCGAUAGAGACACGCACACAGAGAAAGACAAACACACACCGACAGGAAAAGACACACAUUCCAACACAAAGAGACCCGAGAGAAAGAGAGCGGAAAAUAUAUUAAUAUUUAUAAAAAGGGUGGAUGUAGCUAUUGUUAUAGAUUCAGGGCUUUUGCAAGAGAGGAUUUGAGCCUCUCAAGCCCUUACCCAAAUGGAGUUUGAUGAUGAUGAUGUUUGUUAUAGAUUACAAUUACAUGUUCUAGUAAUAUUUUAAUUAAAUAAUCAUUAUUUUCUA